UGCAGUCGAGCGGAUGAAGGGAGCUUGCUCCUGGAUUCAGCGGCGGACGGGUGAGUAAUGCCUAGGAAUCUGCCUGGUAGUGGGGGAUAACGUCCGGAAACGGGCGCUAAUACCGCAUACGUCCUGAGGGAGAAAGUGGGGGAUCUUCGGACCUCACGCUAUCAGAUGAGCCUAGGUCGGAUUAGCUAGUUGGUGGGGUAAAGGCCUACCAAGGCGACGAUCCGUAACUGGUCUGAGAGGAUGAUCAGUCACACUGGAACUGAGACACGGUCCAGACUCCUACGGGAGGCAGCAGUGGGGAAUAUUGGACAAUGGGCGAAAGCCUGAUCCAGCCAUGCCGCGUGUGUGAAGAAGGUCUUCGGAUUGUAAAGCACUUUAAGUUGGGAGGAAGGGCAGUAAGUUAAUACCUUGCUGUUUUGACGUUACCAACAGAAUAAGCACCGGCUAA
rnacentral:rRNA from 1 species